rnacentral:ncRNA from 1 species
AGCUACCUCAUUUUAAUAGGGGUAAUUCUUCCAGUUGCCAGGAAUAAACUGCGGUAACUGGAGUCA